rnacentral:rRNA from 1 species
UACGUAGGGCGCAAGCGUUAUCCGGAAUUAUUGGGCGUAAAGAGCUCGUAGGCGGUUUGUCGCGUCUGCCGUGAAAGUCCGGGGCUCAACUCCGGAUCUGCGGUGGGUACGGGCAGACUAGAGUGAUGUAGGGGAGACUGGAAUUCCUGGUGUAGCGGUGAAAUGCGCAGAUAUCAGGAGGAACACCGAUGGCGAAGGCAGGUCUCUGGGCAUUAACUGACGCUGGAGGAGCGAAAAGCAUGGGGAGCGAACAGG